UUUGCGCGGCUUACCAUGCAGUCGAGCGGGGAAGAGUAGCUUGCUACUUUUACCUAGCGGCGGACGGGUGAGUAAUGCUUAGGAAUCUGCCUAUUAGUGGGGGACAACAUCUCGAAAGGGAUGCUAAUACCGCAUACGUCCUACGGGAGAAAGCAGGGGACCUUCGGGCCUUGCGCUAAUAGAUGAGCCUAAGUCGGAUUAGCUAGUUGGUGGGGUAAAGGCCUACCAAGGCGACGAUCUGUAGCGGGUCUGAGAGGAUGAUCCGCCACACUGGGACUGAGACACGGCCCAGACUCCUACGGGAGGCAGCAGUGGGGAAUAUUGGACAAUGGGGGGAACCCUGAUCCAGCCAUGCCGCGUGUGUGAAGAAGGCCUUUUGGUUGUAAAGCACUUUAAGCGAGGAGGAGGCUACCGAGAUUAAUACUCUUGGAUAGUGGACGUUACUCGCAGAAUAAGCACCGGCUAACUCUGUGCCAGCAGCCGCGGUAAUACAGAGGGUGCAAGCGUUAAUCGGAUUUACUGGGCGUAAAGCGCGCGUAGGUGGCCAAUUAAGUCAAAUGUGAAAUCCCCGAGCUUAACUUGGGAAUUGCAUUCGAUACUGGUUGGCUAGAGUAUGGGGAGAGGAUGGGUAGAAUUCCAGGUGUAGCGGUGAAAUGGCGUAGAGAUCUGGGAGGAAUACCGAUGGGCGAAAGCAGCCAUCUGGGCCGUAAUACUGACCACUGGAGGUGCGAAAGCAUGGGGGGAGCAAACAGGAUUAGGAUACCCCUGGGUAGUCCCAUGCCGUAAAACGAUGAUCUACUAGCCGUUGGGGGCCUUGGAGGGGCGUUUAGUGGCGCAGCUUAACGCGAUAAGUAGACCGCCUGGGGGGAGUACGGUCCGCAGGACUAAAACUCAAUGGAAUUGACUGGGGGCCCGGCACAAGCGGUGGGAGCCAUGGUGGUUGCUCGAUGCAACGCGAGAAACGUACCUGAUCUGACUUACUAGAACGUUACGGAAUGGAAUG
rnacentral:rRNA from 1 species